rnacentral:lncRNA from 1 species
UUUUUUGAUCAGAAAACUUGUGAACCUAAAAUAUAGAGAGGGUGCUUCUAUUGCUGAGCAUUUGAAUGAAAUGCAAAGUAUUACUAACUAGUUAUCCUUGAAAAUGUCUCUUGAUGAUGAGUUACAAGCAUUGUUACUUCUCAGUUCAUUACCAGAAAGUUGGGAGACACUAGUGGUUUCCCUCAGUAAUUCUGCGCCAGAUGGUGUUAUCACUAUGAGUUAAGUAACAAGCAGUUUGUUGAAUGAGGAGUUGAGAAGAAAGAGUUUAGCAACAUCUCAGAAUGAUUCACAGGCACUUAUCUCAAAGAACAGAAGAAGGUCAAAGUCUAGAAGCAGUUCACGCAUGAGUAGGAGC